GAUGAACGCUGGCGGCGUGCCUAAUACAUGCAAGUAGAACGCUGAAGGAAGGAGCUUGCUCUUUCCGGAUGAGUUGCGCACGGGUGAGUAACGCGUAGGUAACCUGCCUGGUAGCGGGGGAUAACUAUUGGAAACGAUAGCUAAUACCGCAUAACAGUAGAUGUUGCAUGAUAUCUACUUAAAAGGUGCAAUUGCACCACUACCAGAUGGACCUGCGUUGUAUUAGCUAGUUGGUGAGGUAACGGCUCACCAAGGCGACGAUACAUAGCCGACCUGAGAGGGUGAUCGGCCACACUGGGACUGAGACACGGCCCAGACUCCUACGGGAGGCAGCAGUAGGGAAUCUUCGGCAAUGGACGGAAGUCUGACCGAGCAACGCCGCGGGAGUGAAGAAGGUUUUCGGAUCGUAAAGCUCUGUUGUAAGAGAAGAACGAGUGUGAGAGUGGAAAGUUCACACUGUGACGGUAUCUUACCAGAAAGGGACGGCUAACUACGUG
rnacentral:rRNA from 1 species